CUCCGAGCGCCCAAAUCGGGAAAAUGUUUCUGUAAGCCGAGUAACUGAUCGUGCAGGUCUUGUUGAACGCGCCGACAUUUUCCUGCAAGGACCAACCAAAUCCACUCAACGACCUAAGACGCACCACAUCUUCAAUUGAGAUGUGCUUUGGAUUUUUGGCGUACCAUGAGCCGUCGGAUAGUUGAAUGCUUUCGAUGAAUUCGAUAGCGUUCUUGAUGCACACUGCAAUAUCCUUCAUGCGAUAUCCCGGAUGCAGCUUGUUGAAUAGCCUCAAGCCUUGAAUGGCUGCAGAUGUGCACUCGACAUACUGGUAGUCGAUCAUGAUGUCCCCGAAAAUCUCCACAGGAUUGAUCAUCUGUCAAUAGAUUCAUUCGAAUACAUCUCAUCAAUCAAAAGAGUUUAAUUGCCGUGGUUUCUUGUGCUUUACCUCCAACCAAGCGUAGGAUCUUGUGAGCUCGAACGACGCAAAUCCUCCACUGCUAUUCUAUGGCAAAUAAAAAGGAUGUUGUCCGUUGAGGCUAUCGCAGAAAUGAAUGUAACAUUCAAUUGUUACCUGAAACGACAAAAGCAAGUCGACUGCGUCGUGCAGCCUAUCCAGUGGUAAUGCUUUUCCGGCAAUCUCGGUUGGCAACUGCGACAGAAGAAGCGCUGCCUGCAAACCUAUGAUUAAAACUUUCUAUAGAGUUGAAUUCUUGUGGGCUAUCACAAAAAAGACUCGAACCUUGAGGCCUUCAGCCGUGCAGUCGGGGACAGCCCAGCCGUGGUCUGCUGUCGAAAAGGGCCAUCCGCCUUUCGAUCUGUGGCGAUACCAAGAGCUCGGAUUCCCAUUAUGAGCCCGUUCGAUCACCGGGCCAUAUUUGUUUUGCAGAUUAGUAGCGAGCAUUGCUUGGACAGUUAAAACAACGUCCCACAGCUGAGUCCCGUUGUAUCCUUGCAUCUUCAUGCCGUCUUCGGCCAGCCAUAGAUAGUCCU